rnacentral:tRNA from 1 species
AAAUUAUAUAGUCAUUUAUGAUAUAAAAUUGCAAAUUUUAUGGUGAAUAAAUUUUAUUUAUUCUAUA